CGCAAGCCUGACGGAGCCAGACCGCGUGGGGGAGGAAGGCCCUUGGGUUGUAAACCCCUUUUCUCAGGGAAGAAACCUGACGGUACCUGAGGAAAAAGCCUCGGCUAACUCCGUGCCAGCAGCCGCGGUAAUACGGAGGAGGCAAGCGUUAUCCGGAAUCAUUGGGCGUAAAGCGUUCGUAGGCGGCUGUUCAAGUCUGCUGUCAAAGACCGAGGCUCAACCUCGGGUCGGCAGUGGAAACUGGAUAGCUAGAGGUCGGUAGGGGCAAAGGGAAUUCCCAGUGUAGCGGUGAAAUGCGUAGAUAUUGGGAAGAACACCGGUGGCGAAAGCGCUCUACUAGACCGAAUCUGACGCUGAGGGACGAAAGCUAGGGGAGCG
rnacentral:rRNA from 1 species